AUCCCUGAAUUUCUAAGAAAUUUCCUUGGCAUUGCCAAGCAGAAGCAAAACCGCGUGCUUAUUUAUUUUCAUGUCACCGGGCUUUCUUACUUCCAGUUCAGUUGCUCCACGAAGCGGUUCUUUGGCUAUAGAAAUUUGGUUUUCUUUCUCUCUUAGACUCUGGACGGAGGCUGAUUAAUGAAGUGAAGAUCACGGGUAACUAUCAUCUCCCUCCCUCUCUCUGCACUGCAGGACAGUACUCGAUCUCCACACUCCAGGCUGCGCUAACAUUUUCCCUCUCAAAGCACGCACCGAUCGAGCAACCCCUUAUUUUUUCUUGCCAUAGGCUGACAGAUUUUAAACCUCUCAUCCCGGACACAAGCUAUCAGGUAGAUAUCCUGGUCACGAGCUAGAGGAAUGGACAAUCAGACUAGACCCAAUAGCAGCGGAAGUAUAAUGAUCUCUACCUCCGAACUUCGCAGACGUGCAUUUCGGAGAAACGAAUUGGUUGAGAUUUUGUUACCCCCGCCUCCUCAUGUGCUACAGGAUGAAAUUGCAUUAGAGGCUCAUUAUCGAUCUGAAGUGAAUGUUGAGCUACCAGAAAAAAUUGCAUUGCAGGCUCAUAGCCAAUCUGAAGUGAACGUUGAGCCAAAUUCGGGCCUGCAUAAAUGUAGCACGAGGGGCACCACCCAGAGGCACCACCCAGACACACCUCAGAGACCAUAAAGCUUCUCAUAUACCACCCAAUAAAAUUAGCUUGGAGACUCAAAAUUAAUCUGGAGUGAAAAUUGAAACAAAGUCGGGGCAAUAUAAAUAUAGUGAUGUUGAAUUCUAGAACUCUCAUUUACUCCUCUUGAUCAAAUUUUUACAAUUUUAAAUUUCAAAUAACAUGUUGUUUUGCAUCCUUGCAAAAAAGGACACCACCUAAGCACACCUCGAACCAUAAGGUUCCUCAUGUGCCACUCGAUGCAAUUGGCUUGGAGGCUCAGAAUCGAUCUGAAGAGAAAAUUCAACCAAAGUUAAGGCGAUA